GAUGAACGCUGGCGGCGUGCCUAAUACAUGCAAGUCGAGCGAACAGACGAGGAGCUUGCUCCUCUGACGUUAGCGGCGGACGGGUGAGUAACACGUGGAUAACCUACCUAUAAGACUGGGAUAACUUCGGGAAACCGGAGCUAAUACCGGAUAAUAUAUUGAACCGCAUGGUUCAAUAGUGAAAGACGGUUUUGCUGUCACUUAUAGAUGGAUCCGCGCCGCAUUAGCUAGUUGGUAAGGUAACGGCUUACCAAGGCAACGAUGCGUAGCCGACCUGAGAGGGUGAUCGGCCACACUGGAACUGAGACACGGUCCAGACUCCUACGGGAGGCAGCAGUAGGGAAUCUUCCGCAAUGGGCGAAAGCCUGACGGAGCAACGCCGCGUGAGUGAUGAAGGUCUUCGGGUCGUAAAACUCUGUUAUUAGGGAAGAACAAAUGUGUAAGUAACUAUGCACGUCUGGACGGUACCUAAUCAGAAAGCCACGGCUAACUACGU
rnacentral:rRNA from 1 species